UUCCAUAUUACUGUAAGCCUAACAUGGUAUUUUUUGACCUUUAUGCAUCUAUUGCCUUUUUUCUUCAUUUUUGAUUUUCUUCCACUUGUUUCCCAUUAUAUCCUGUUUCAAGAACUUCCUUAGCUGUUCAGUUGGAGUCAGGUUCAAGAACUUCCUUAGUUGUUCAGUAGGAGUCAGCAAUCAUUUCACUCCUGGUCCUUGACUUGAGCUUUCCUUGGCCAAACAAUCCACGCUCAUGUUCCCUUCUCUCCAGGUAUGAGUAAACUUCUAUUUUUCUAGAGGGAAUGCAAUAUAUAAGUCUUUGGGCUUGAGUGGGUGCAAACUAUUAUAAUAUUGCUAACAAUAUUUUAAAAGGCAUUCGCGGGGCGAGUCCUCGGCAUGGCGUUCCAAUACUGCCCUUGGGUGAUCGUAUAAGGCGAAAUUGUGUGGCUGUACGUUUGGGCACGCCUCUAAAGUGAGGCAUUAAAAGCGUACACCCCACAAAUUGUUUUAAAAAAAGAAAAAACAGAUUUAACUUUAUCAAUUAAAUUUUUAACUUUUUAAUAUUUAGUUUUAUUACUAAUUUACUAUCUUUAUAUUGAGACAUUGAGUGAAUUUGAUAUUAAUUUAUUUGAAAUAUAAUAUAUGGUUAGGCAAGCAAGGAAAAGGAAAAGAGAUUGUUACCUAUAGAUUGGAUCCGGUGAUGGGAUGGAAAUUCCAGAAUUACCAUCAACUAUUGGAAGAAAAUUACCUAGUAUAUAUACACUAUAUGAAGAUGAUGACAUGAAUGAUAUUGACUUUGAUGAAUAGUAUCAUUUUAUUUGUCAAUUUAUUUCUAAUUAUUGGUGCUAUUCCUUGUUAUGUAUUAUAAGCAAUAUGGUUGCUAAUUUCGGUACUUUUGAUACUAGUUAAGUGUGUUUAUUGAAACAAUUAACCUUUGAAAUUUGUGUCUACUUCAAUUUAUGUGUUUGUAAUUUAAGUGCUUGAUAAUGUGGUGACUUUUGAAUUUUGACUAGUUCAUUUCUAAAAUUGAACUUUUUGUAAUUUUAAUUAUUCUGCUUAUAUGUUUGUAAUUUAAGUGCUUGAAUAUUAACUUUGAUGAUUAUGUAGUUAAUUAUUCUGUUUAUUUAUAUCUUCAAAUGACUUUUUUUGUAAUACAUAUCAUAUUUUUAUAUAUUUUAAAAAAAUUCGCGGAAAAAAAUUCGCGGGGCUUAUGCCUCACACCUCGGGGCUUUCGCCCCGUUGGGCAGAUACUAAAUGAUCCCCUCAACACCUUCACCUUUUAAAACAUUGAGUACUAAAUUAGGACACCACAAUAUUUUUAUAGCGUAAAAAAGAGGUUUUUAAAAAUUUGAGGGGAAGGAAUUGCCCAACCUCAUGAGUAUGCGGCUCUACCCCUGAUCAAAAUUAAUCAGUUAAUACUCGAAAGUAGGCAGAGAUGGAGAGGUAGUAGUAAGUAGGUAUUCCUUUAAGAGGUAAAAUUUGGAAUACAUACGGAAAAAAAAAAGAAGAUAUUUGAUCAUUAGGGUAUUCCAUUUGAUAAGGACCUGGUAGAUAUAAGAGAAGAAAGAACACGAUGGAUUCCAAUUGUGGAGCUGAAAUUGUUAACAUUGCAGUUUAUUAAAAUUGAAGAGGGAAAAACUGGAAGGAUCCAAUGUGAGACAAGCUAAUGGCCUGUUGGGUAAUCGGAAUUUUGUGGAUAAGCCUUGUUUUAGGUGGAGAAAAAAUGGCAGCACCAAUAUUUACUUGUUCAGCAAGAAGUUGAACGUAAAGGCUGUGAAGGUUGUAAAACAGUCGAGGAUUAAUUGUGUAAAGGAUGAAAAGUUACCCAUAGUAAUUAUGAGGUACCUUCUUUGAGACUGGUUUAUGUAAUACUUAUACAUAUCAAGGCAGUUCUCCAAAUGCCUUCUUGCAGUUCCCUUAUGUAAUAAUUUGCACAAAAACGCCCCAUACAAAAUAAAAAAGUGUGUAACAAGGAGAUAUUUUUGUUCAUUCCUAAGUCAAGUUGGAAGCUUGCUUCCAAAUUUGACGAAUGGCCUUGAAGACAGUCAAAUUUGUUUCCGAAAAAGAUUCCAAUAUAAAUGGGGACAACUGACAAGAAGCUCCAAAAUUUGGGCUGGGGUGUAGAAUUUCUGAAUGUGAGGUGGGUAUUUUCUUGUUAUUCAGAUCCAGCAUCCAGCUGUACCAGGUUUGUUGGAUCAUUUGAGGUGGGCAUGGCUUAUUGAAAAUGGAAAUGGUGGCCAUGUAAUGAUUUAUGAGGACAGAUUAACAGAGCUACAAUCUCCUAGACCUGAUUGACGGAACAUGAUGACUGAUGAGAAACAGCCUCCUUGGAAGUGAUUUGCAUCGAAAUAUAUCUCUGGGUCCAUGAGAGUUAUCCACAAAAAGAUUGUAGUAGCUUAUGUUCACUUUGCUAUGUGCGAACCUCGCUUCCACAUACUGUACUACUGCUGACAUUUGAAGUAGAGGUUCCUAUCCAGCAUGAUUAGCCAUCUCGGCUGAGUUCGAUAUGAUUCGACCAAGUCAUAACUGGAACAGAGGCGAGCGAUACGAUACCGAUUCCUGAAUUAUGAAUAUUUUUAUAUUUACAGCGACUCGCUCUGACUCGACCAAUAUUGGCCGAUUUGAAUUGUGAUACAUGAAAUCAGCCAAAAUAUUCGAGUUAACUCGGAGUCGACUCAGAUAUUUGUUCAGAUGAUGUAUUUUAUGUUAUUUUCUAUUUUUAGUAAUUUUUUCAGAAUUUUAAAAAUUUGUAUGUGCUAUAAUUUGUGUAUCGUCCGAUAUUUAAUCGAUAUGCGAUGAUGGAUAUCGAACAACUGUGACCGCGACCUGCAACGGCCAAGCAUGCUAUCCAAGCUGCUGAGCGCUUGAGGGACUAUACUUCUCUUUGAAAACAAUGAACCAACAGAACCACAGGAACCGCUCACAGAAGACAUUCGAUUGGAGAAGGCAUCCUUGCCGGAUACAAAAAAAAGUUCAGUCCUCAAGUUCGAUGAGGAGGAUGAUGGAGCCAAAGUACCCUUGAAGAUCCAACUCGGAAAGGAGCAAGGCAUAGCAGCAAGUGAAGAAGCAGAUCGACUGUCGAGGCAGACCCUUGAGGCUAAGGACAAGAUUUGCCUUCUGUGCACUACAUUCAGGUUGGCCAGGUCUCUGGGGAAAUGCAUGUUCCUUCUGGUUGCUUCCUGAAGGACCAGCAGCUGGAGCUGAGGGAGACAUUUGAGUUAUUCCAUAAACAGGACCAGCUUCCACAGCAGGUUGGGUACUUGCACUGGAACAGGAACCAUAUAUACCUGGGGGAAGCAGCACGGGACCAUGCAUUUACCUGUGCAAAACUCAAGGUUUGAAGUAAUUUUCAUGAAACUCCUGUCCAAUUUACUUGCAUUGUGAAGUACACUUUGGAUUCGAUAUUCACUUGAAUUUUGUCAUUGUCAGUAGCUCAAUACCGUAGAAGUCACAGAUGAGAUUCAUAAAAAAUGUACAAAAUCUGGUGAACCAAGUUUUAAACAACUAAUGCCAUGUUUGCGCUGGUUUGACUUGGGAAAAUUAUUAGGUGUUUAAAUAGUUUCUUAUUUAAAAUAAUGUUCUUUAUGGUACAGAAUUUAGUGAACAUUUCUACGUCAUGCAACAAACCUACUUUUAUCCAAAAAAAGAAAGGAAAAAAAA